rnacentral:rRNA from 1 species
UGGGGAAUCUUCCGCAAUGGGCGAAAGCCUGACGGAGCAACGCCGCGUGAGUGAAGAAGGGUUUCGGCUCGUAAAGCUCUGUUGUCGGGGACGAAUGUGCAGUAUUUGAAUAAAGUACUGUAAUGACGGUACCUGACGAGGAAGCCACGGCUAACUACGUGCCAGCAGCCGCGGUAAUACGUAGGUGGCAAGCGUUGUCCGGAAUUAUUGGGCGUAAAGGGCGUGUAGGCGGCCAGACAAGUCUGUCUUAAAAGUGCGGGGCUCAACCCCGUGAUGGGAUGGAAACUGUCGGGCUAGAGUGUCGGAGAGGAAAGCGGAAUUCCUAGUGUAGCGGUGAAAUGCGUAGAUAUUAGGAGGAACACCAGUGGCGAAAGCGGCUUUCUGGACGACAACUGACGCUGAGGCGCGAAAGCCAGGGGAGCAAACGGGAUUAGAUACCCCGGUAGUCCUGGCCGUAAACGAUGGGUACUAGGUGUAGGAGGUAUCGACCCCUUCUGUGCCGGAGUUAACGCAAUAAGUAUCCCGCCUGGGGAGUACGGCCGCAAGGCUG